UUCCGGUUGAUCCUGCCGGAGGCUACUGCUAUUGGGAUUCGACUAAGCCAUGCGAGUCAAGGUGUCUUCGGACGCCGGCGUACGGCUCAGUAACACGUAGGUAACCUACCCUCAGGACUGAGAUAACCCCGGGAAACUGGGGCUAAUAUUAGAUAGAUAAAAGAUACUGGAAUGUUCUUUUAUCCAAAGCUUUUGCGCCUGAGGAUGGGCCUGCGUCCGAUUAGGUUGUUGGUGGGGUAAUGGCCCACCAAGCCUACGAUCGGUACGGGCAGUGAGAGCCGAAGCCCGGAGUUGGGGACUGAGACAAGGCCCCAGGCCCUACGGGGCGCAGCAGGCGCGAAACCUCUGCAAUGCGGGAAACCGUGACAGGGGGAUCCCAAGUGCUCAUGCAUUGCAUGGGCUGUUCUUUGGUCUAAGUAACCAGAGGAGUAAGGGCUGGGCAAGACCGGUGCCAGCCGCCGCGGUAAUACCGGCAGCUCAAGUGGUAGCCGCGAUUAUUGGGCCUAAAGCGUUCGUAGCCGGAUAAGUAAGUCUUUGGUUAAAUCCUGCAACUUAACUGUGGGAAAUCUAGGGAUACUGCUUGUCUUGAGACCGGGAGAGGUUAGAGGUACUCCUAGGGUAGGGGUGAAAUCCUGUAAUCCUAGGGGGACCACCUGUGGCGAAGGCGUCUAACUGGAACGGGUCUGACGGUGAGGGACGAAACCUAGGGGAGCGAGCCGGAUUAGAUACCCGGGUAGUCCUAGCCGUAAACGAUACUCGCUAGGUGUCGGCCACGGUGCGACCGUUGUCGGUGCCGUAGGGAAGCCGUGAAGCGAGCCACCUGGGAAGUACGGCCGCAAGGCUGAAACUUAAAGGAAUUGGCGGGGGAGCACCACAACGGGUGGAGCUUGCGGUUUAAUUGGAUUCAACGCCGGA
rnacentral:rRNA from 1 species